GAAACCGAGUGAUCUACCCAUGGGCAGGUUGAAGCUCUGGUAACACAGAGUGGAGGACCGAACCGGUUGACGUUGAAAAGUCUUCGGAUGACCUGUGGGUAGGGGUGAAAGGCCAAUCAAACUCGGAAAUAGCUCGUUCUCCCCGAAAUGCUUUUAGGAGCAGCGUCGUGUGAAAGAGUAGUAGAGGUAGAGCUACUGGUUGGAUGCGGGGGCUUCAUCGCCUACCAAAUCCUGUCAAACUCCGAAUGCUACUACUUGUUUCACGGCAGUGAGGGCAUGGGUGCUAAGGUCCAUGUCCGAGAGGGAAAGAACCCAGAUCAUCUGCUAAGGUCCCCAAAUGUAUACUAAGUUGAUCAAACGUGGUCAGACUGCUUAGACAGCUAGGAUGUUGGCUUGGAAGCAGCCAUUCAUUUAAAGAGUGCGUAACAGCUCACUAGUCGAGCGGUCAGGCGUGGAUAAUAAUCGGGCAUAAGUAUACUACCGAAGCAAUGGACAUGAAAAUGUGGUAGGGGAGCAUUCUAGUUGCGCCGAAGGUGAAAUGUAAGUUUUGCUGGAGCGGCUAGAAAAGAAAAUGUAGGAAUGAGUAACGAUAAUGCGGGUGAGAAACCCGCACGCCGAAAAUCUAAGGUUUCCUCAGCUAUGCUAAUCAGCUGAGGGUUAGUCGCGACUAAGGCGAACCCGAACGGGGUAGUCGAUGGACAACAGGUUAAUAUUCCUGUACUGGUUUAUACUGCGAUGGGGUGACGAUGUACUGAAAGCACCGCGGACUGACGGAAUAGUCCGUUGAAAACUGUAUCUAUAGGACCUGUAGGCAAAUCCGCAGGACCUGGAGAAGGUUGAUAGUACCAAGAGUCUUCGGACAAUUGGAUAGUGUGCCUAAAAACAUCCAAGAAAAACCUCUAAGCUUCAGGUAUAAACAACGCGUACCGUAAACCGACACAGGUAGAUGGGAUGAGAAUUCUAAGGCGCUCGAGUGAUUCAUGGCUAAGGAACUAGGCAAAAUCGUCUUGUAACUUCGGGAGAAAAGACGCCUGCUUCGGCAGGCCGCAGUGAAAAGGCCCAGGCGACUGUUUAUCAAAAACACAGGACUCUGCUAAAUCGAAAGAUGAUGUAUAGGGUCUGACACCUGCCCGGUGCUGGAAGGUUAAGAGGAGAUGUUAGCUUCGGCGAAGCAUUGAAUUGAAGCCCCAGUAAACGGCGGCCGUAACUAUAACGGUCCUAAGGUAGCGAAAUUCCUUGUCGGGUAAGUUCCGACCUGCACGAAUGGUGUAACGAUCUGGGCACUGUCUCAGCCAUGAGCUCGGUGAAAUUGUAGUAUCGGUGAAGAUGCCGAUUACCCGCAGCGGGACGAAAAGACCCCGUGAACCUUCACUACAACUUUGUAUUGACAUUGGACAAGAGAUGUGUAGGAUAGGUGGGAGACUAUGAAGCGUUGUCGCUAGGCAGCGUGGAGUCAACCUUGAAAUACCACCCUUCGCUUGUUUGAUGCCUAACCCCGCAAGG
rnacentral:rRNA from 1 species